rnacentral:rRNA from 1 species
AUAGACCAUGAGAUCUGGAAUGACUCAUGGNUUCAAAGUUCCGGCGCUUUAGGAUCGGUCUGCGGCCUAUCAGGUAGUAGUGGGUGUAAUGUACCCCCUAGCCUAUUACGGGUAUGGGCCUUGAGAGAGGGAGCCCAGAGUUGGAUUCUGAGACACGAAUCCAGGCCCUACGGGGCGCAGCAGUCGCGAAAACUUCACAAUGGGCGAAAGCCCGAUGAGGGAAUUCCUAGUGCUAGCACUUUUGUGUUAGCUUUUCUUUAGCGUAGAUAACUAGAGGAAUAAGGGCUGGGUAAGACGGGUGCCAGCCGCCGCGGUAAUACCCGCAGCCCGAGUGGUGGUCGAUUUUAUUGAGUCUAAAACGUUCGUAGCCGGUCUGAUAGAUCCUUGGGUAAAUCGGGGGGCUUAACCUUCCGAAUUCCGAGGAGGCCGUCAGGCUUGGGAUCGGGAGAGGUAAGAGGUACUUCAGGGGUAGGGGUAAAAUCCUGUAAUCCUUGGAGGACCACCGGUGGCGAAGGCGUCUUACUAGAACGAAUCCGACGGUGAGGGACGAAGCCCUGGGUCGCAAACGGGAUUAGAUACCCCGGUAGUCUAGGGUGUAAACGCUGCAGACUUGGUGUUGGAGGCCCUUCGGGGGCAUUCAGUGCCGGAGAGAAGUUGUUAAGUCUGCUACUUGGGGAGUACGUCCGCAAGGAUGAAACUUAAAGGAAUUGGCGGGGGAGCACCGCAACGGGAGGAGCGUGCGGUUUAAUUGGAUUCAACACCGGAAAACUCACCAAGGGAGACCAUCACAUGAAAGCCAGGCUAAUGACUU